rnacentral:sRNA from 1 species
GCGAUGAAGGUACAUUAUGUACAAAAAAAAUUUAUUUAACU